AACAAACAUACACAACAAUGGCGGAGUACAUGGUAGUGUUGCUGCUGCUCAAGAGUUUGCUAACGCUUCUUCAGCAAAGUGUGGAUUUACUUCACCAAUAUUACAACCAACUAACAAGAUCCAUUUACAUAGCUGAUUUGGUGAAUGGCAAACUGAGGCCAAGCAGGAUGGUGGUAGUCCGUUUCACUGAAUAAGAUGCUCUUGGAAGUUAUGAUCCUGUAAUUCUCCCCAAUGCCUAGGGUAAUGAGAUACUUAACCCUGAAGGAACCAAAAGUACAUUUUACAAUUUAUGUUUGUAUUUUUAAGCCGCUUAAAAUAUCAAGAAUGAUGUGGCCAUCAUUGGGUCAUGUCAUCCCCUGUACCCGGGGUCCCUCUAUUGGAAGUAGAAUGCCCACAAGGUUUUUGCCAUUGCAGAGCAAGUUCCUAGGCAGCAAGAGGAAGAGAAGGUACAGAACCAAUAUUUGUGAGUACAUUUCUCACCUGCACAAGUCAAUACUAAUCUAAUUAAAACAAUUACCUUUUAGUCAAAAAGAUGAUGAUACUUCAGGUCUACAAGAUGUCUAUGAUAAGAUAGAAGAGGUGGUGCUGGCCUCACAGGGCCUUCAGCAAGUUAUCUCAGCUGUCAAAGAGCUGUCUGAGCUGUCCAGUCAAACACCUGCCUUCACUGAAGUCCAAACAAAGAAAAUAAAAGCAGUUUUCACUUGCAUAGUGUGCAAGGGACCCAUUGAUCAUCCAGUAUUUGCCACCUGCUGUAGAAGCCUGAUUGGAUGCAAGCUUUGUGUUGACCAGUGGAUGGCUACUGCAUCACAGUGUUUGAAAUGCAGGGAGGAAAACAAUUUCUUUCUUGCAGCUGGUCUUUCUGAAGCAUUGUUAUCUCUUAGUGACAUCAUUAAGGUAGAGUAGGCUAACAAGAAAUACAAAUGUAAGUUACCUGUGUUUAUCAGCAUCAAACUAGUACAUUUUAUGUUUCUAGAAAGAGCAUUUAAUGGAAAAUGGCAAAAUAAACAUGGCUUUUAAGAAUAUCUUUGUGUUAGAGUGACUAGAGAGAUCAAAGCCUCUUUAAAAGGCACAAAGCUUUUGAUGACUGCAUUAUUGAGCCUUCUUAUGUUCACUUGUGAAAAGGUCUACCAAAGGCAGAAACCCUGGUUAAAGAGGAUCCCAGUGUGUCCAUGUACAAGUCAGCUGCUUCAAUUCCAUGGGGCAGUAGUGCUGCUGAGAUUCUUUUGCACAACCACCCUGUGCAAUAUGGUUGGGGAUUGUUAAUUUUUUAUAAAUUUCAACUGCUUGUGAA